rnacentral:sRNA from 1 species
CGGGUGUAGUAGCGUGUGCCUGUAAUCCCAGCAGCUCCGGAGGCUGAGGCAGGAGGAUCAUGAGUUCAGCAACUCAGUGAGACCCUGUCUCUA